GAUGAACGCUGGCGGCGUGCCUAAUACAUGCAAGUCGAGCGAACAGAUGCGGAGCUUGCUCCUCUGACGUUAGCGGAGGACGGGUGAGUAACACGUGGAUAACCUACCUAUAAGACUGGGAUAACUUCGGGAAACCGGAGCUAAUACCGGAUAAUAUAUUGAACCGCAUGGUUCAAUAGUGAAAGACGGUUUUGCUGUCACUUAUAGAUGGAUACGCGCCGCAUUAGCUAGUUGGUAAGGUAACGGCUUACCAAGGCAACGAUGCGUAGCCGACCUGAGAGGGUGAUCGGCCACACUGGAACUGAGACACGGUCCAGGCUCCUACGGGAGGCAGCAGUAGGGAAUCUUCCGCAAUGGGCGAAAGCCUGACGGAGCAACGCCGCGUGAGUGAUGAAGGUCUUCGGAUCGUAAAACUCUGUUAUUAGGUAAGAACAAAUGUGUAAGUAACUAUGCACGUCUUGACGGUACCUAAUCAGAAAGCCACGGCUAACUACGUG
rnacentral:rRNA from 1 species